rnacentral:rRNA from 1 species
GACGAACGCUGGCGGCGUGCUUAACACAUGCAAGUCGAACGGAAAGGCCCUGCUUUUGUGGGGUGCUCGAGUGGCGAACGGGUGAGUAACACGUGAGUAACCUGCCCUUGACUUUGGGAUAACUUCAGGAAACUGGGGCUAAUACCGGAUAGGAGCUCCUGCUGCAUGGUGGGGGUUGGAAAGUUUCGGCGGUUGGGGAUGGACUCGCGGCUUAUCAGCUUGUUGGUGGGGUAGUGGCUUACCAAGGCUUUGACGGGUAGCCGGCCUGAGAGGGUGACCGGCCACAUUGAGACUGAGAUACGGCCCAGACUCCUACGGGAGGCAGCAGUGGGGAAUAUUGCACAAUGGGCGGAAGCCUGAUGCAGCAACGCCGCGUGCGGGAUGACGGCCUUCGGGUUGUAAACCGCUUUCGCCUGUGACGAAGCGUGAGUGACGGUAAUGGGUAAAGAAGCACCGGCUAACUACGUG